AGAGUUUUAAGUUUCUUUCCUUUUGAUAGUUUAAAGCUAAAUUUGUUGUUUUUCAUUAUAGCUUUCAUAAUUGAUGCUAAAACCUAUUUUCAUAUGUGGGUAUUGGCUAAUUUAUGCUUCAUUAUGUUGAAUGUUUGCUAUCUAUUUUGCCUUUCUUCUCUAGUACAUCUUGUGCGGGGAAAAUAAUAUGUUGUUUGUUUAUAUAUAUCAUGUUGAUCUUUAAAAAAAAAAAAAAAACUAUUCAUAGAUCCUUAUUUUUCGUACAUUCAUUCAGCAUAUUUUUUGUUUUCUUUAUCUCUAUUUUUCUAUCACGUCAUCACCCUAUUACAUCUUUUAUUUUACUCUAAUUAUUUCUCUCUUUUUAGUGGUAAAAUAAAUUUGGAGUGUCUAAGAUUUAUUACCCUAUUG
rnacentral:lncRNA from 1 species